AUGUGUUGACUACCAAAAUGAAGGGGAGGUUGGGGAGGUACUAGCUGAUGCAUUUAAGACAGGAUUGGUGAAGAGGGAGGAUCUUUUCAUUACUACGAAGUUGUGGAACUCAGAUCAUGGACAUGUUGUGGAGGCUUGCAAAGCCAGCUUGAAAAGCUUCAACUAGACUAUCUGGAUCUCUUUCUUGUUCACUUUCCCAUUGCAACAAAGCACACUGGAGUUGGUACAACUGCAAGUGCAUUGGAUGAAGAGGGUGUUUUGGAUAUUGACCCCACAAUUUCGUUGGAGACUACGUGGCAUGCCAUGGAACCUCCGCUCGCCCAGGCUACCACGCGGACACCCCGGCGCUCACGUGUGACCGCUUGCGGCACCGUGUUGCCGUCCUCGUGAGUGACCACCUGGCCGUUAACGUGGCUCACCACGGCGCUAACGGGUGCCACAACGCAGUCUUAUUGUUGUUUGCACCAUACACAGCUCGACACUAACCUAGAAGCUGGAAUCGGUAUGCUAGAUAAUAGUCUGAAGCUAAUGUCAAUAUGAGCCUAGCAUGUGUAUUUCUUAGUUUAGUUUUAAUAAACAAUCACAGCUAUGUUAAAAUGUACUAAUUUUGGUUUUUUAUUUAU
rnacentral:lncRNA from 1 species